rnacentral:lncRNA from 1 species
CUCUAGAGUCAUCAUGUGAUCCCAGGAUGAGGAUGCCAAUGGUAGGCAUCUGUGUUCUGACUCCAGGGGACACCAGCAGUAUACUCCCAGAAUAUAGACAGACUGACAGAGACCACACCACACUGUGAGACUGCACUGCUGGUGUCACUGACAACUUCAUUUCCUCUGAACUGCCUGAGAAGACGUUCGAUAACUCACAUGGUAAUGCUUCUAAUAUUCAGAAAGUUUUAGUGUGACAUUUGAAGGAAAUCACUAUUGGGUUAUG